rnacentral:rRNA from 1 species
GAACGGUAGCAGGUCCUUCGGGAUGCUGACGAGUGGCGGACGGGUGCGUAACGCGUGGGAAUUUGCCCAAUAGUGGGGGAUAACCCGGGGAAACUCGGGCUAAUACCGCAUACUCCCUACGGGGGAAAGCGGGGGACCGUAAGGCCUCGCGCUAUUGGAUGAGCCCGCGUCCGAUUAGCUUGUUGGUGGGGUAAAGGCCUACCAAGGCGACGAUCGGUAGCUGGUCUGAGAGGACGACCAGCCACACUGGGACUGAGACACGGCCCAGACUCCUACGGGAGGCAGCAGUGGGGAAUAUUGGACAAUGGGGGAAACCCUGAUCCAGCAAUGCCGCGUGUGUGAAGAAGGCCUGCGGGUUGUAAAGCACUUUCGGCAGGAAAGAAAAGUCAUGCGCCAAUACCGCAUGACCUUGACGCUACC